rnacentral:rRNA from 1 species
GAUGAACGCUAGCGGCAGGCUUAACACAUGCAAGUCGAGGGGUAUGGUUCUUCGGAGCCAGAGACCGGCGCACGGGUGCGUAACGCGUAUGCAAUCUACCUUUUACAGAGGGAUAGCCCGAGAGAAAUUUGGAUUAAUACCUCAUAGUAUAGCUCGUACCGCAUGGUAGUACUAUUAAAGUCACAACGGUAAAAGAUGAG